UGCAUAUGUUUGACAUCUGUAAGAAAUAUUGUUGUACAUGGUUUGAAUAUACAGCCCACCACUCAGGCCAUGCAGAAAAUCUGGAGGAGAUGGCAGAAGCUCAAGACAUCUGAACAGAACUUCUACUGUUAGAGAGAGCGGAAGCAGUGGGGCUGAACAGCAGAUUUUUCAGCAAGGCAAUUGCAGUCUCUCAAAUGUUGAAGUCUGGGGAGAAUUCUGAUUUCUUCCUGUCUUCUGAUACCUCAACAACAGGAAAUCAUCAAUUCUAAUUUCUAAUUUGUCAGAUCCUGUGGAGUGUCAGUCACAGGCGGAGGUGGAGAAGUCCUGCCCAGAUCACGAGGAGGUGGCUGUGAUUAGUGCAUGACCCCAUAGCAGGACCUGUGGAGUUGUGCCUGGGAGGUGAGCAAGACAGGGGGGUGAGUUUGACUAGCAAGUCAUCUUUUCAUCAGCACAGAGAAGAAAAGAGUAAAGAGGGGGAGAGGAGGAAAAAAGGGUGAAAAUGGCAAGCAAGUACUGAUCAGGUCAACAUCUGUGCUCCUGCAGUGGGCUGGGCUCUCUGGCACCAGUUUACCAGCAUCCAUUACAUCUUUUUCUUAAUUUUAAAAGUAGUUUCUAAUAAUUUAUCAAGUAUGUGGUAGAGCAGAAAGUAGCUGUGGUGUUAGAAAAACUCUGGAAAUGGUAAGCAAAUGAAAAUGACACAGCUGUUCCAGGCUUUCCCAGCCUCCCAAGAAGACAGCUCAGACUGCAGCACGACACACACCACAUUUCACUGGCAUAGGGCCAUGGUUUGUGUCACAGCCAGACAGCUUGCAACAGAGCUUGGCCCAAAUGUGAAAAGCCUUCUUAUUUGAACUUGAGAAAUACAGAGUCAUAUUCAGAUUUUAAAGCUUUCUAAUGAAUAAAAGUUUAGGACAGAAAAUUCAGUACAGCUGUUACUGCUGAAUCCAGACAGGGAUUGAAAGGUGGACGUUCAGCAAGGGAUGCUUCCAGCAGCCCUCAUCCCUCCAGCCCUGCAUCCUCAUCCUCCCAGGGCACUGAGCACCCUCCAGCCCUGCAUCCUCAUCCUCCCAGGGUGCUGAGCACCCUCCAGCCCUGCAUCCUCAUCCUCCCAGGGUGCUGAGCACCCUCCAGCCCUGCUGGCUUCCCUGAGAGCCAGUGAGCAGCCUCUCCUAGUGCUAACCUAAUGGGACAGCAUGAACUUACAGCUCAGGAGGGAAGAUGCCUGCCUGUGACCCAGGAGUGUCUUACAGUUGCUGGCCAUGCGCUGUUCAGAGAGGUCUGAUGCCAGGUGAAAUCUGCAGCAGCUCUGUUUCCCACAAGUAGGGUUACACCAGUGAAAGCUACUGUAGGAAAAAUCAGAAUAAAGCCCAAUGUGGAGAAACUU